CUUGAAAUACCACCCUUUAAUGUUUGAUGUUCUAACGUGGACCCGUAAUCCGGGUUGCGGACAGUGUCUGGUGGGUAGUUUGACUGGGGCGGUCUCCUCCUAAAGAGUAACGGAGGAGCACGAAGGUUGGCUAAUCCUGGUCGGACAUCAGGAGGUUAGUGCAAUGGCAUAAGCCAGCUUGACUGCGAGCGUGACGGCGCGAGCAGGUGCGAAAGCAGGUCAUAGUGAUCCGGUGGUUCUGAAUGGAAGGGCCAUCGCUCAACGGAUAAAAGGUACUCCGGGGAUAACAGGCUGAUACCGCCCAAGAGUUCAUAUCGACGGCGGUGUUUGGCACCUCGAUGUCGGCUCAUCACAUCCUGGGGCUGAAGUAGGUCCCAAGGGUAUGGCUGUUCGCCAUUUAAAGUGGUACGCGAGCUGGGUUUAGAACGUCGUGAGACAGUUCGGUCCCUAUCUGCCGUGGGCGCUGGAGAACUGAGGGGGGCUGCUCCUAGUACGAGAGGACCGGAGUGGACGCAUCACUGGUGUUCGGGUUGUCAUGCCAAUGGCACUGCCCGGUAGCUAAAUGCGGAAGAGAUAAGUGCUGAAAGCAUCUAAGCACGAAACUUGCCCCGAGAUGAGUUCUCCCUGAGACUUAGAGUCUCCUGAAGGAACGUUGAAGACGACGACGUUGAUAGGCCGGGUGUGUAAGCGCAGCGAUGCGUUGAGCUAACCGGUACUAAUGAACCGUGAGGCUUAACCUUACA
rnacentral:rRNA from 1 species